AUGGACCGCACCUCCCGCAUGACCCCUUUGGCCAGCAGGGCCCCUCAGAUGAGAACUGCACCAGUAGCUCAGCACCAGCAGCUCAGCACCAGCAGCAGCCUCACCACCUGCAGUUGGCUUACCUGCUGGGGCUCCCUGGCAGCCAGGUCUGAUGGCCCAGAUGGCAACCACUGCAGCUGGCGUGGUUGUCGGCUUUGCUGUUGGGUACAUGCUGACUGGGUCAUGCCAUCACUGGGGACUUCAGUGGAGGAAGUAAUGCUGAACCCUUAAGGCCUGACCUCACUUACCAGGAACCUCAGGGAGCCCAGCCCAUACAGCAGCAGCAACCUUGCUUGUAUGAGAUAAAAAAGUUUUUGGAGUGUGCCCAGAACCAGGGUGACAUAAAGCUCUGUAAGGGUUUCAAUGAGGUGCUGAAACAGGGCAGACUUGCAAAUGGAUUGGCCUAAUCAAGAAGUUCAGAUUGAGGAAAUGGAAAAUCAACUCUCAUGACCAAGUUAAUUUAGCAUAAAAAUAUAAUUGAUAGUGAAGGUAUGAAUUGUAAAA